AAGGUUUUAAGUUAAAAUUAAACUAAUAGUCUUCAAAAUUAUUUAUAAAGAAAUACUCUUUAAGCCUUA
rnacentral:tRNA from 2 species